UACAGAGGUCCCAAGCGUUGUUCGGAUUCACUGGGCGUAAAGGGUGCGUAGGCGGUGAGGUAAGUUUGACGUGAAAUCUCCGGGCUCAACCCGGAACUGCGUUGAAUACUAUCUCGCUAGAGGAAUGGAGGGGAGACUGGAAUACUUGGUGUAGCAGUGAAAUGCGUAGAUAUCAAGUGGAACACCAGUGGCGAAGGCGAGUCUCUGGACAUUUCCUGACGCUGAGGCACGAAAAGCCAGGGGAGGCAAACGGG
rnacentral:rRNA from 1 species